rnacentral:tRNA from 1 species
GCCUGGGUGGCUCAGUUGGUUGAGUGUCCGACUUUGGCUCAGGUCAUGAUCUCACAGUUCAUGGGUUUGAGCCCCACUUCAGGCU